rnacentral:lncRNA from 1 species
CUCACGCAACACCGCAUUCGGGGAGCCGCUGGAGGAGUCUAGGAAGCUGGCGCUGCAGGAGGAGACAGCGGAGAUCUUCGGCGGCUAAGUGGAGCUGACGAUAUCAACGACGAGGAAGACAUCAGGCGACUAACAAGUUCGUCAAGUUCGCGACCACAUACUUCCAAGGCAACGCGUCGCACUCGUACGUGAAGCGUCUGCUGAAGGCGCCUAUUUACCGUAUAAAUAUU